rnacentral:rRNA from 1 species
GAUGAACGCUGGCGGCGUGCUUAACACAUGCAAGUCGAACGGGAUCCAAGGGGUGCUUGCACUUUUUGGUGAGAGUGGCGAACGGGUGAGUAACACGUGAGUAACCUGUCCUUUUCUUUGGGAUAAGCAUUCGAAAGGGUGUUUAAUACCUUAUGUUCUGUCUGCCUCUCAUGGGGUGGGUGGGAAAGGCUUUGGCCGGAUUUGGGUGGGCUCGCGGUCUAUCAGCUUGUUGGCGGGGUGAUGGCUUACCAAGGCUUUGACGGGUAGCCGGCCUGAGAGGGUGGUCGGUCAGAUUGGGACUGAGUUACGGCCCAGACUCCUGCGGGGGGCAGCAGUGGGGGAUAUUGCACAAUGGGCGAAAGCCUGAUGCAGCGACGCCGCGUGGGGGAUGAAGGCCUUCGGGUUGUAAGCUUCUUUUGCUCUGAACAAGGCAUGCCAGUGGGUGUGUUGAGUGUAGGGGUUGAUGAGCGCCGGCUAACUACGUG